AAAAAAAAGAGAGAAACUCUCUGUUUUCUCUCCCUCAGGCUCCGGCUCCGGAGAUAGCCCGGCCCAGGCUUCCGGCGAGUCUCCACCGUAGAGCCACCGUAUGUUGCGGCCGGAGGUCCCAAAAUGGACCCUUUCGGUCCCUUUUUUUGAAGCCGAUCGUCCCUAGAGUAUAGAUCUAAGGCCAAAACUCGCGAAAGACGGACCAAAGAGGCAAAAAUGGGGGCUAAACCAUUCGGCUUCCCCUCCUCCGGCGGCACUGAUGCCAGUGGUGAUGGGAGCAGGUGGUGGUAGGUGCGGCGCGGAGUGGCGAUGGCAGAGACCAAAGGUCAAAGAGGGCGGCGCCUAGGGUUUCAGUCUCUGAAACCCUAGGCAGAUUUUUUUAUGAAAUUGGGCUUGGGUGUUUUGGGCUUCGGGUUUUGGGUUGUAUUUGGGUUAGUUUUAGGUUAAUUAUUGUUUUAUUUGUUGGGCCCAGGUUUGGGCAAAAUUGGGUUGUACAGUAAGCUACAAAGAGAAAGUGAUAACUCGAAAUCAUACUCAAAAUUAAAGAUUAUUCAAAAUGUAGAAUUUUCUCUUAGGUUGAAAAAUCAGAGGUAGAUCUGGAUAAAAGCUAUUAGGGAAGAAAGAAAAGAUAGAAGAAAAAGGGAAAGGGAAAGAAAAACCCACGUGAAGCCUUGGUUGUAGAUGUCGACGGAAACGGAGACGCGUUCGGCGCCGGAUUUGAGUCUGUUCAGCGAUGCCUUCUUGUGAGCGAUGAUGAAGGGGGCGUCGCCGGUGGCGGUGGCGGUGGCGGUGGCGGCUGAAACCAGGAAAAUAAUAAAGAAAGCCUUGAUGAGUGGAUUUCCGAUAAGUGUCGCCAUGAGUCUGCCGGAACUGGUUACAUUUAUGUUUUUCUCUUCAAUAAGAAAUGAAAAAAUGAAUUUAAACAGGCGACACCAGGGUUCGUUCAUAACAUUGAGCUGCCCAGAGAAUGAGAAUCAAAAUGUCUGCGGGCCGGCGUUGUUUUAUUUGCAGGGCCAAAGUCGAAAAUUAUUUUAGGGGAGGAAGUUAAAUUCUAUAUGUUUACCAUGUUUUCUUCUUCAUCAACCGAACCUCCAUGAAUGUUUGAGCUGAAGCUUUAGGCCAUGGACAAAUUGCUUGCAUGAUCAAGAUCGGGUGGAAAAUCAAGGAAAAUAAAAAUUACCAAAAUGCCCCUGAACUUUGGUAUUUCUACAAUUUAGCCAAGUAAGUUUGUAUGAACUGUAUUCUGUAUAAUCUUGAUUAAAUUGAAUGUCAAUAUCUGAUAUAUUGUGAUUAAAUCAAUAUAUAUAUAUGUUAGUAUGCAAUUUAUUGUGUUAUGAAACGACAUAAAUCUAAUUAUGUACGACGAUUACCGAGCCCCAUUUGAACCUUAGGAAUUCGUAGGAUACAAGUGACAUGUCAUUAGGAUUUACAUGAUUCGGGUGCUGGUCCUGAACGUCUUACCGAUGGUUGAGGUCCGGCAUGUGUUGCGGAUACUCCACAGCUCGUGUAAGCAACAUCGUAUAGCUACGUUUCGACCCACAGCUCGUGUGAGCAUGCCCAUUUUCACAGCUCAUGUGAGCAUUAUGAUUUGCAGCUCGUGUGAGCAUUCUGAUUUACAACUCAUGUGAGCAUAUAUGUAUAGGAAUUGACGGAUUACAAUUAUAUGAGUUAGCACACUAUGUGUGAGCUAUCUCGAGUAUCUAACAGUAUUCUAAAUGGUUCAACGGGCAUUAUUCAGAUAAGAAAUGGUAAGAGAAUGAUGUGUAUUAUGACAUGUACAUAUAUGAACAUCCUUGAUAUGAUGAUACAUGGAAAUUAUGUAAGUUGAGAUGAGUAAUAAACUUAAGUGUUACAUGUUGAAUUUAUAUGAAAUAUGUUCAAGUAUGCUAACAUGUGUUGUUGUUUGAUACUUAGGCAUGUGCCAAGCUAUUGGUUGAAUGGUUUUAUGUUUACUUAUAAGUUGCAUUGAAAUGGUAAAAGCCCAAAUGGAAAUGUGCUUGUGUUCAUGAAAGAGUGGUAAGAUUUUAAUUAUGAAAUUUCUUAUGAAAUGAUUUAUCAUGUGGUUAAUUCCCAAAAGAGCUAUGUUUAAAUGCACUAGCUUAUGGCUAUAGUUGAUUAUAUGCUUAUGUCUUCUGUGUUAUGCAUUUGAAACGGGUGUGGAAAGGUAAUGAAAUAGUAAGUUCAUAGUUGAAGUGUAAAAUGAUAAAAAAAAAGGGAAUGAUGAGUUGAAUUGAUGUUGUUAUUUAAGUUAAGGAAAGUAAAUGAAUGGAAAGUAAUGAAAUGCAAAUGAAAAUAAGAAAAUUUGAAAGAGUUUAAAGUUAUUUAAAAUCCUACUUUGCUAGGGAUGAUAUGUAUAUGUGAUGCUGUGGGUUUAGUCACUUUGUGAGUUGUUGAAUAUGAUUUCAUGAAUCUUGCGAUAUCGGUAUAGGAUUAUUCUUGAUAUGUAUAAAUUUCGUAUUUGAAAUGGAUUGAUAUGACUAAAGUUUAUAUGAGCUUACUAAGCAUUCAUUGCUUAUGUAGUUUUCUUUCUUUUACUUUUUAGAUUAUCGGAAGCUCGAUCGGGUUGGAAGCUAGUCAGAAAUCCAUCACACUAUCCAUCGUUUAUAUCAACAGAUUUUGAUGCUUUAUUCAUGGUUAUAAUGGCAUGUAUAGGUGGACUAUGUUUAAUGCUUAAUUGAUGAGUUUGGCAUGUAUAUGUCAUUUUGGUUUAUGAUUAUGGCAUGAAAUGUUGCCUUGGGUUUGAGGUACUUAAAGUACUAUUGAUGUCUUAUUGGUUGUGGUUAAUAUGGUCAAAUUGAUGCAUGUUUUGAAAUGACCAAAUUUGGUAUAUGUUAAUGUA